rnacentral:rRNA from 1 species
UACGUAGGGUGCGAGCGUUAAUCGGAAUUACUGGGCGUAAAGCGUGCGCAGGCGGCGCGUUAAGACAGGUGUGAAAGCCCCGAGCUUAACUUGGGAAUUGCGCUUGUGACUGGCGUGCUGGAGUGUGGCAGAGGGAGGUGGAAUUCCAGGUGUAGCGGUGAAAUGCGUAGAUAUCUGGAGGAACACCGGUGGCGAAGGCGGCAUCCUGGACCGGUAUUGACGCGUGAGGCGCGAAAGCUAGGGGAGCAAACGGG